rnacentral:lncRNA from 1 species
CUCAGUUCCCACCGCUGGGGCUGGCGGCGACCAACUACCUGUCGCAGCCAGAGAGCUGUCAUUUCAGUACCGGGAUUCAGAAUUGAUCCAGUCCGCAGCGGAGGGGGCACAUCCCAGCUACCGAGCUGCUGAGUGUCUCUGGCUGGAACAAUAGUAUUUUUUUCUCUGCGAGGCUGCAAUUAACAUCUUAUUUGUUCUGGCUCCAUACAGGCUUUGUCAGGAUCGCGGUGCGGCGACCGACGUUGGGCUCUUGCAUUGCUUUGUGCUUGGCAAUGGAAUCAUGGUUUCGGGAUAGUCAUUUUGCCUCCUGGACAGUUGGCUGACGAAGUGUCUGAUAAACCAGCUUCAGAUACAUGCUACAAAAGGCUACUGAGCUGGCCUGAUGAUGAUCCUUCUGAGAUAUAUUUAUAGCAGAUGAUUUGUGGAUGAUAACUACGCCAAGCAAGACACUGUCUCCAGUAACCCCAGGCUCGUCUGACUUCCUCAGGGGAUUAUAAUAAAGAAUCACAAAAAGAACCCUAUAUGGACAGUCUGGUCUCUGGACACUAACAACAGCACAAUCCAAAGGCAAAGAAAGGAGGAACCACCUUGUUUCAUGUCUGCAAGCUGCUCCAUAUGAAAGCAUUGCUGACAUGUUGACCCAACAGCAAAAAGAGAGCAGCAGUUUACACACCCUCAGCUCUCUGUCCUUUCCUUUCUAUUGAUGUUGGUCCACUUUUAUGACUGAAUACAUAUUAAAAUCACCAUUUCAAAUUAUAA